rnacentral:rRNA from 1 species
UACGGAGGGAGCAAGCGUUACUCGGAAUUAUUGGGCGUAAAGGGCGCGUAGGCGAUUUAACAAGUCUUGUGUGAAAGCCCCGGGCUUAACUCGGGAAGUGCACAAGAAACUGUUGAAUUUGAGUUCCGGAGAGGAAGGCAGAAUUCCCGGUGUAGCGGUGAAAUGCGCAGAUAUCGGGAGGAACACCAAUGGCGAAGGUGGCAUCCUGGACCAUUACUGACGCUGAGGCGCGAAAGCUAGGGGAGCAAACGGG